rnacentral:misc_RNA from 1 species
GAUGAAGAACGUAGCGAAAUGCGGUAAGUAAUGUGAAUUGCAGAAUUCAGUGAAUCAUCGAAUCUUUGAACGCACAUUGCGCCCGCCAGUAUUCUGGCGGGCAUGCCUGUUCGAGCGUCAUUUCAACCAUCAAGCCCCAGGCUUGUGUUGGGGACCUGCGGCUGCCGCAGGCCCUGAAAACCAGUGGCGGGCUCGCUGUCACACCGGGCGUAGUAGAUUUUAUCUCGCUCAGGGCGUGCUGCGGGUUCCGGCCGUUAAAAAGCCUUUUUUACCCAAGGUUGACCUCGGAUCAGGUAGGAAGACCCGCUGAACUUAAGCAUAUCAAUAAGCGGAGGA